UUUUUUUUUUUUUUUUUUUUUUUUGACUGCACCCGUGGCCAGGGGCUGAAUGUGAGCCUCAGCUGUGAGCUACACCACAGCUUCAGCAACACCAGAUCCUUAACCCACUGCACUGGGCUGGGGAUGACCUGGCAACGCCAUAGACAGGCUGGAUCAUCUACCCCCUGAGCCACAGUGGGAACUCCAAGAUUACUUUGAAAAUCACUUUAAAAGCAGGCCUUGUCCUAAGACAUGUCGGGUAAGGCUGCGGAGCCCGAGCUCGGUGCCUGCGCGCUCCAUCACGGCCCUGCAGCCCAUGCCCCGGCCCAGGGCCUGGGCCUCAGUGGGGCUUUGGGAAAAACAGCAAAAGCCCUGUGCAAAUGCAAAGCCUGAUUUUUCCCCAGAGGAACCAAUCUUCUAUCUACAAAUUCCACAGCCAAGUAAUGUCCAUGAGGACGUGGGUUCGAGCCCUGGUGUUGCUCAGUGGGUUAAGAAUCCAGUAGCUACAGCUGCCAGCCUACACCACAGCCACAGCAUCACCAGAUCCUUAACCCACUAAACGAGGCCAGGGAUCGAACCCUCAUCCUCAUGGAUCCUAGUUGGGUUCAUUUACCUCUGAGCCACGGACAGGAGCUCCCACUUGAAAGUUAUAUACCCAACUGAACUACAACUGCAUGUCCAGAGUCUUGUACAUGAAUGUUCACAGCAGCCAAAAGGUAGGACGGAACAACCCACAUGCCCAUCAGUUGAUGACUGGACUAACAAAGAGGCGGUCUAGCCAUGCAAUGGAGUACUACUCAGUCAUGAAAAGGAACGGAGCGUCAACAAAUGUUACAACGGGGAUAAACUUUGAAAAUGUGAUGCUAAGUGAAAGAGGGCAGACAAAAAGGCCACAAAUUGUAUGAUUCCAUUUACAUGAAAUAGGAAACUCCAGGAUAGGCAGGUGCAUAGAAAGAGAAGGUAGAUGAGCAGCUGCCAGGGGCUUGGCUGGGGGGUUCUGAGAGAAAAACGAGUGACUGCUGAUGGGCAGGGGGAUUCUUUUCGGGGUGAUGAAAAUGUUUCAGAAUUGGAGAGCAGUGAUGGUGGCACACCUCUGUAAAUAUACUAAAGGAUACUGAGGUGUACGCCGUAAGAAGGAGAAUUACAUCUCUUCAAAGAAAUACAGCUGUUUAAGAGACAAAAAAGAAAAAGCAAGGGGUUGACAACGACAUGCCAAAGGAGGCAGGUAACAGAGAGGAGAACGCGAGAACAACACUGAGACCGACUCCCACCCGGUGGCCUGUCGCUGCCACUGGGCACCGGCAGCGCUCAACGCUCACAGUCUCCAGACGCGGUGCUGCCCACCCCCCUAGGACCCUGUGAGGAGGGGGAUCCACGAGGAGCCUCCCUGUGGCCACAGCAGCGAAUCAAGGGCCUGAAAGAGCCUGGGGCCCAAGUCCUGUCCAGUUGUCGGGUCUCCCAGCGGGCCUGGGCGUGCUGGGCAGGACUGGUGGUCCUCGUGACCAGCCCUGCACCUUGACCUCUGCGGCCCCUCCUCUGAGGGUUCAUGAUGCUCAAAUGUGGACAGAGAUGAACACAGGCUCUGACCCAAACACUUAAAUUCCUUCUUGUCUCCAAGUUAGCAUUUUUUUUUUUUUUUGGCUUUUUAGGGCCCACACCACAGCAUAUGGAAGUUUCCAGGCUAGGAGUCAAAUCAGAGCCACAGCUGCCGGCCUACAUCACAGCCCCAGAAAGACAGGAUCCGCGUCUGCGACCUACACCACAGCUCACGGCAACGCUGGAUCCUUAACCUACUGAGCGAGGCCAGGGAUUGAACCUGCGUCCUCAUGGAUCCUAGACAGGUUCGUUAAACGCUGAGCCACGAAGGAAAUUCCCAUUUAAGCAUUUUUUGUUCCAGGACUAACCACUGCCGUGCUGUCACCGUUGCACGUGGCAACUUCACAUUUCUUCCAACAGAGUCACAAAACAGGGUCCCACAGGAGUUGGAGCAGAUAACUCUCAUUAAAUCACAGUCCCUAAUUAUCGAUUUUAGCAAAAAUCCACUUGGCAUAGUAACCAGGCCCAUUAGAUAUUUAAGGGUAACUAAACAGUACACUCAAUUUGACUUCCGCUUCUGAUUUGAAUGGUGGAUCAGUCAAGAGAAAAAGAAAAACAUUUAGAAUACACGGGGAAUUGAAAUAGAGCAGGGGAAGGCAGGGGGCGCAGGGGAAAGAGAAUUUCUUCAACACACCAGGAAAGGCAUUCACAAAAUGACAGAUUACCUCCACGACAAGAUUUUAAGUGAGUCUCACCUUCUUUUCUACCCUUUGGCCAUCAUUUGAUCUUUUAAACUUUUAAAAGUGUUUGCUUGCUUUUUAUGCCUGCACCUGUAGCAUUUGCACUAGGGUUCAAAUUGGAGAGCAGCUGCGGUCUACGCCACAGCCUGGCAACACGGGAUCCGAGCCACAUCUGUGACGUAUGCUGCAGCUUACAGCAGCUUAUGGCAGUGCCGGAUCCUUAACCCGCUGAGUGAGGCUUAAGAAUCAAACCCACAUCCUCACAGAGACAACACUGGCUUCUUAAUCUGCUGAGCCCAAACGGGAACCCCUGACCUUUUUUUUUUUUUCACUUUUUUUUUCUUUUGUCCUUUUAGGGCCACACCCAUGGCAUGUGGAGGUUCCCAGACUAGGGGUCUCACCGGCGCUGUAGCCGCCAGCCUAUGCCACAGCCACAGCAACGCCAGGUCCAAGCCGCGUCUGUGACCUACACCACAGCUCACAGCAAAGCCGGAUCCUCGACCCACGGAGCAAGGCCAGGGAUCCAACUGCAACCUCAUGGUUUCUAGUCGGAUUCGUUUCUGCUGCGCCACGACGGGAACUCCGGGAACUUCUGAUUUUUUUUAAAAAAAUAUUGCUCAGUUUGUAAAAAGUUAGAAACAAAAUAUUUUUAUUUUGAGAGAGAAAAAACUUAAGUGUUGGUUCAGGUAACCUUUAACAAUCUGUUCAGCUCUAAACGUCACAAAAAUCGAAUUCCAGGUUAGGAAAGCCAGCGAAGGAGCGUGUGCUGACCCGGGGCACACCGUGGUCCCCGGACCCCCCAAACCAGGCCUCGGCCCCCACUUGCUGGGGGCCCCCUGAGCAGGCACGGUCCUUCCCCGACAGCAGCAUCCCGACAGUCUACUGAGGAGGGCAAGUUGGUUCCCUACCUGGACAGGCGGCUCGAUCAUGAUCCAGGCCGGAAGCAUCAGACUGGGGUUCAGAGGCUGCGUUCCUACACGGAAGUAAACGCCACCCCUGGAAUCGCAGGCCCAGACGUGCUGGUUUCCACACGACAAGCUCGUCAGUCUUACGGUUCCUGCAGACAAAGAGAGUGACAUGGUCCACUACGGUCCUGUAGACAAACCAAAGCACAGGCGCUAAUUACUUUCGCAAAGUGACGCAUCUCUCAUUUCAUCUGUGAACUCUGGUUUUCUAUUUGAAAGGAAGCGAUGCGGCUGCGUUUGCAGUUGAACUCUGUUGCUUAAGCACAUGACUGCGCGCAAGUGACCCAGGCCUCUGGCUGCUCGCCACCUAGCAGCCCUUCCGUGCAGUCAAGAGGCCGCCGGCCCGGUGCCGUGAGCACCGAGCACGGGGAGUGAGGUCCGAGCGGCCGGCCAUUCGCUGCAUCAGGUACGGGGCUGGGACCAGCGGAUCGAAGUCGUUCUGAUUCGGGACAAGGGAGCUCACCUGUAUGGGUGAGCGUGAUCUUAAUUAGAAUUCAGACUUAGCCCCCCAGAAUCUUCGUUUUCCUUUUCCCAUUUCUCCUUGUUGAUUAAACCCAUUUUAAGAG
rnacentral:lncRNA from 1 species